CCUUUAGUGUGAAAAACAUAAAGAUCAGUCACAAUUAGGGCUGUCGAUUUAAUCCAUUAAUUUAAUUAAUUAGCUUUAAAUGAAUUAAAUUAAUAAUUUAAUGCACCCGCCCCAGACCUACGUAUGUCAUCUUACAUUUCAUAUAGUUGAUUGGUGACAAACAUGAUGCAGGGCAACAACUCACUGUGUGAUGUAGCCUAUAGAAUGCAGUUAUAUGAUCCCCCCCAGUUUAUGUCACAUAUAUUGGCCUAUGUGAUAUGAUAUCAUUAAGCAAUAGCAGGAGUGCAAUUGAUAUUUUUAUACAACAGUUCAAUAAGAAGUUAAUGUUGUGAUAUAUUUUACAUGCAAUAUUUCUGUUAUUGUUCAUAUUUUCCAACAAAAAUAUUAGCUAUAAAGCCAGCGCAGAACUGUUGUGCAUCUCUGAGCAACAUACAUCAGUGUUUCAUCUCUAAAUGAAUCCGCGUUUUGAGCGAAUCAAUCAGGUGAACCAACGAUUCAAUGGCCCAUUCAUAAAGAGAGCCAUUAGGUGUGGGCCAUUAGAAUCAGCACUGCGCAGACCGAUUGGUGUAUGAAAAGUACCGCAAGAGCAAUUAUAGAGCAGAUCGUAUGCUUUCGAAUUGCUCUUGUGGUACUUUGAUGUCGUACAAUGAUUGGUCUGCGCAGCGCUUCAAGUCAAACACACUUUCAUUCCUAAAUUAAUUUCAUUUCUGAAUUCAAACCUGUAUGACUUUCUUUGUUUUGCGGAACAUAAAAGAAGAUAUUUUGAAGAAUGUUGGUAACCACACUGUCAGAAAAAAGGGUACGGCUGGGGUACAAUUGUGAGCACUCUGGGUACAAAUGCUUUGGUUGUACCCUCAAUGGGAACACCUUAAGGAACUAAUAUGUACCAUUUUGGGGGAAAUAAGGUACAUAUUUGUUUCUAACGGUCAAAGGGUCCAUGUUUGUACCAUUUAAUCAACAAACAAAGGUACAAUCAAAGGUACAAUCACUUGUGUGACUGAAAGGUUGACGGGGUGGGUGGUUCAAGACUCCCAAACCAUGCAAGUGCAUUAAAUUCGUGCACCUGAGCAUUAUUUCAAGCUAGACAAAUGUUUAUAUACUCAUCUUUUUAAGCAAGAAACAACGUGGGCGAUUUUUAAAAAAAAUAAUUAUUUCACAGUCAGUCAGCCUCUCAAAUUCAAAUGUAGCCCGCGCGAGCAGCACAGAUGACGGUUAACCGAUUGGACUGCCCAAUGGUUUCUCAGAUCAGACACUGACGACGGAUCUUCUGCUAAAGAUGAGAGAAGCUGGGAUAUAAUUAACCGAAGACGAAGAAUCACAGAAAUUGAGAGGUAUGUAAUUCUUGUUAAAUCCGCUGUUAUUUAUAUUUGUAUGAAACACCCCGCGAUAUAUUUUGUGUAUUUGCCCAACUUUGUCGUGUCCUCCCGCCAAAAAAUACGUGACUUGGUAAUAAAACCAACAUAUUGUUUGCCUGUUUUAGAUUGUUAAUGUUAUUAGAGCAGAACUGUUUGAGGUUAUCUUAUAGUUUUAACCUAUAGGCCUAACUCUAGCUAUUCUUCCGUCUUAACGCGCCGCUCGACCGUAUAGAAGUCAGUCAGACUCGACUGAACGAAAGGUGUUCAUCUAUAAUAUAUUUACUUAGGACAAAAAAGGGUAAAAACCAGCGCUUUUCUUUGCGAACCGGCCCUUAUUUUAACGACACUUGAAUCUCGACUGUGAAACAGACUUAUAAAAUCAGACUUUUCAACUAAUCUGACCGUGUUUAUCCGGUACGCGAGAGCUGCGUCGCGCGUACAUUUCACGGACGCAGGGGUUGUACUUUUAACACGUCUCCUCGUAAUCUGUUUGAAAUUGAUUUUUUUAUUUGUAUUUUUAUUAAGUGAUAGAUACAACGUCAUUUUAAUGUUGAUGAGAUCUAGCCUCGAAUGCACGUUGAUCUGUCCUUGACUACUUUCAGACUAUGAGGUGGAUAAGGAUGAAGAGAAAAUGAUCAAACCGGAUCAACUUUAAGCGACACGGUGGUGUAAACUAUAGAAGCAGCCUUUGACUACAGAAAUGUAAGUAUAAAAUUAAUUUUUUUUUUUUUUUUUACUUAAUAUGUACAUUAGUAACAAUAUGAAUAUGUCACUGCCUGUUGUUGUUGUCAUUUCCCAUUUCACAGAGAUCUUCAGACCAGACUCCACAAAGAAACAUGUCAGAAAUCCUCCUAGGUUACAAUAUACCCUUUCCAUAAGGAUCUGGAAGAUGGCAAUUCCCUCAGACAUAAACUCAGUGGAGCUUGCACCUCUGGUUCUUGAAGAUGAGGUCAGGAAGAGCAAGGAUAGUGAGGCUGUCUGAAGAAACUCCAGGAGCCUGUCACAGGUGU